rnacentral:lncRNA from 1 species
CCAAAAAAUCAGGGGCAGGAGCUGAUACGAAUCUACGCUACGUACGACCAGGAAACUUCAAGCGAUUCCAUAAGCACAUUAAUUGAUAAGGAACAUGAGGAAUUCGAGCAGGAGGCAAAAUCGAACUCUACUAUUCCAACUGUUGAUGCUGUAAAUACCAACAAGAAACGGACAUGUAAGCCAAGAGAUAAAAGUGAUCCCGACAAAGAAUUUCUUAAGUUUAAAAAAUGUACACAAAAAAAUUCCAUUUAAGAAAACCCAGAAAAUACUCAUUCCAAAUUUCGACCAACCCUGUAUACCAAAAUUAAUUAUUUCGAUAUAAGUAUUAAUAGUUUUGGACAAUAAUAAACUAGGUUAAAAAUC